rnacentral:rRNA from 1 species
CCUACGGGAGGCAGCAGUGGGGAAUAUUGCACAAUGGGGGGAACCCUGAUCCAGCGACGCCGCGUGAGUGAAGAAGUAUCUCGGUAUGUAAAGCUUUAUUUGCAGGGAAGAAAAUGACGGUACCUGUCUAAGAAGCCCCGGAUAACUACGUGCAAGCAGCCGCGGUAAUACGUAGGGGGCAAGCGUUAUCCGGAUUUACUGGGUGUAAAGGGGGCGUAGGCGGGUUUGCAAGUCUGAAGUGAAAGCUCAAGGCUCAACCAUGGGACUGCAGGUGAAACUGGAAAACUGGAGUGCAGGAGAGGUAAGCGGAAUUCGUGGUGUAGCGGUGAAAUGCAUAGAUAUUACGAAGAACACCGAUUGCGAAGGCAGCUUACUGGACUGUAACUGACGCUGAGGCUCGAAGGCGUGGGGAUCAAACAGGAUUAGAUACCCGAGUAGUC